AUUGAACGCUGGCGGCAGGCCUAACACAUGCAAGUCGAACGGUAACAGGAAGCAGCUUGCUGCUUUGCUGACGAGUGGCGGACGGGUGAGUAAUGUCUGGGAAACUGCCUGAUGGAGGGGGAUAACUACUGGAAACGGUAGCUAAUACCGCAUAACGUCGCAAGACCAAAGAGGGGGACCUUCGGGCCUCUUGCCAUCGGAUGUGCCCAGAUGGGAUUAGCUAGUAGGUGGGGUAACGGCUCACCUAGGCGACGAUCCCUAGCUGGGCUGAGAGGAUGACCAGCCACACUGGAACUGAGACACGGUCCAGACUCCUACGGGAGCCAGCAGUGGGGAAUAUUGCACAAUGGGCGCAAGCCUGAUGCAGCCAUGCCGCGUGUAUGAAGAAGGCCUUCGGGUUGUAAAGUACUUUCAGCGGGGAGGAAGGGAGUAAAGUUAAUACCUUUGCUCAUUGACGUUACCCGCAGAAGAAGCACCGGCUAACUCCGUG
rnacentral:rRNA from 1 species